CUCAGGUCCCAGAGAUAGUAUUAGUUACCAACUCUUCUGAGAAGGGGUUCCUGCUGGAAGAUAGCUGUGCAAAGAGUCAGCAAUUGUUCUUAGUGCCUUCUAUUCUACAUGUCCAGAUGCCUCAGCCCUUUCGGCUCUCCACAGUGAAGCCCACAAGAAUGCUGCUGUCCCUUCAAGUCUAUCUCAAUUUUCUGCACCUCAAGAUGGAGUAAACCUGGGGAAGACAACUGAGAGGGAAGGAGGCUAAAGAAAGACUGUUGAACAGCAUGGCUCAUCUGAGGAUGCUGCGUCCAGUUCUUCCUGGCUCUGAAAAAAAACACCAAACAGUAGAUUUUUCAAGAUGGCUCCUACUUGCAAGACAGGAGUGAGCAAGGAAAAAAGAGCGUAGGAGAUCUCUUUCUCUCAGGAACCUUGUACUUUGUAGGUCGUAGUAUGCCCUUGGAUAUAAAUGCAUAAAGAAGGGGGUAUUUUUGUAUGCAAACUCCUGUGACAGUACCUGCCUGCAGCCUCCCUCUGCUUCUCUGUGUACUGUCUGUCCAUGAACUUAUAAAAUUACAGAGUCUUACAAGAUAAUGUGGAAUGAAAUGGAAACCGCAUUGAUAAGGUUGCUGGGACUGGAUCUGCCACUUGUCUAGUCCUCUUCAAAUACGAUGCUGAGAUACAACAUCCUAUUGAGCAUCUGCUCUCCCUUGCACCUGGAGGAAGAGAAUGAACCCAUUUUAAAGGCUUGAGAAGAAUGUCUUUAAAGAGGAUUAAUUCAGUUGGCUCACUCGGCAAAGAUGAUCUUUCUUUCAUGCUGCUCCUGCAACUGGUGGAGCUGAGACAGACAUUCUAAACCAUAUGAUGAUGAGGACAAAAUCCUGCUGAACACUCAACUGAUAGAAAGAAUCCCACCAUUAAUUAUUUGGAUAUUUUUUGUAUUAACUCCAAAUCAUUUGCCUUUAGAACUUUUAAGAGAGUGGAGACCAUAAGCUCCUGUCUCAUUUGCGUCAUAACUGUUGGAGUGCUGUAGUUACUGUAUACCAACUACAGCUUUCACAUUCAUGGUUAUCAUUUGUAAUUAGGAAUAAUGGGCUCCAUUUAGGGGAAUAUCAUUCAGGUAUCCGUGCUGGUUAAGUGUACAGAAUCUGCAAGCUCCCAGGAAGUGGAGCAGACAAUGAACAUUAUGAGAAAUCAAUGGAGGCAAAAUCACAGUAAUUCCCAUAACUCUGAGAAUCCCACAAGGAAAUCCAGGAAGAGAAAAAUCUGUUCCACACAAAGCCAAACAUUCUGGAAAUUUCCAAAAGCCCAAAAGCUUCAUAUACUAUUUUUCUUAAGUCAAUAAAUGGCUUCUUCACCUAGCAUCUUUUAGAAUUUACUUCUUGAUCACUCAUCAAGUUCUAUGUUUGCUUUUAUGAUUUAUGCCUCUCUUCGAAAUUGUUAUUGUGGUGGUAAGGACUUUGCCUGUCAUUUUGUAACUAUGUCUCCAGCAUCUCCCCCUGUGAUGAAUACCCAAAGAAUUAUUAGAUAAUGUCCGGCUGGAUAGAGAAUACUUUCUUUUGUUUUACUGUCCAAAUUACACAAGAAGUCUAGGUUUCAGCCUAAGCUAUAUCAUGAUCAAGAUACCACAAAGUGAUCCCAGUAUUGUGCUUGGUUGGGUUUAUUGUCCAGUUAACCAUUUUUCACUUUUCUGUCUAAAGAAAUGAAAGACUUCCUAAUCAAUUUUCUUAGAGGAGACUGGAGCAAUUUCUGUGGACCAAAAAAAAAACCAAAACCAAAAACCAAAACAAAACAAGACAAACAGCAUAUAGAGAACAUCUCUGUUUCUUGUGAAGCAAACAAACAGGAACUUCCUUUGAUCUAGGUGAUUAUGCUCUAAUUGUCUGCAUCCUUAGAAAUUUCCCUAAUAAAAUAAUUUUGAGCCAGGCGGUGGUGGUACAUGCCUUUAAUCCCAGCACUCGUGAG